rnacentral:rRNA from 1 species
AGAGUUUGAUCCUGGCUCAGGAUGAACGCUGGCGGCGCGCCUAACACAUGCAAGUCGAACGAGCGAGAGAGAGCUUGCUUUCUCAAGCGAGUGGCGAACGGGUGAGUAACGCGUGAGGAACCUGCCUCAAAGAGGGGGACAACAGUUGGAAACGACUGCUAAUACCGCAUAAGCCCACAGCUCGGCAUCGAGCAGAGGGAAAAGGAGCAAUCCGCUUUGAGAUGGCCUCGCGUCCGAUUAGCUAGUUGGUGAGGUAACGGCCCACCAAGGCAACGAUCGGUAGCCGGACUGAGAGGUUGAACGGCCACAUUGGGACUGAGACACGGCCCAGACUCCUACGGGAGGCAGCAGUGGGGAAUAUUGCACAAUGGGGGAAACCCUGAUGCAGCGUCGCCGCGUGGAGGAAGAAGGUCUUCGGAUUGUAAACUCCUGUUGUUGAGGAAGAUAAUGACGGUACUCAACAAGGAAGUGACGGCUAACUACGUGCCAGCAGCCGCGGUAAAACGUAGGUCACAAGCGUUGUCCGGAAUUACUGGGUGUAAAGGGAGCGCAGGCGGGAAGACAAGUUGGAAGUGAAAUCUAUGGGCUCAACCCAUAAACUGCUUUCAAAACUGUUUUUCUUGAGUAGUGCAGAGGUAGGCGGAAUUCCCGGUGUAGCGGUGGAAUGCGUAGAUAUCGGGAGGAACACCAGUGGCGAAGGCGGCCUACUGGGCACCAACUGACGCUGAGGCUCGAAAGUGUGGGUAGCAAACAGGAUUAGAUACCCUGGUAGUCCACACCGUAAACGAUGAUUACUAGGUGUUGGAGGAUUGACCCCUUCGGUGCCGCAGUUAACACAAUAAGUAAUCCACCUGGGGAGUACGACCGCAAGGUUGAAACUCAAAGGAAUUGACGGGGGCCCGCACAAGCAGUGGAGUAUGUGGUUUAAUUCGACGCAACGCGAAGAACCUUACCAAGUCUUGACAUCCUGCGACGAUGCUGGAAACAGUAUUUUCCUUCGGGACGCAGAGACAGGUGGUGCAUGGUUGUCGUCAGCCCGUGUCGUGAGAUGUUGGGUUAAGUCCCGCAACGAGCGCAACCCUUACUGUCAGUUACUACGCAAGAGGACUCUGGCAGGACUGCCGUUGACAAAACGGAGGAAGGUGGGGAUGACGUCAAAUCAUCAUGCCCUUUAUGACUUGGGCUACACACGUACUACAAUGGCGUUAAACAAAGAGAAGCAAGACCGCGAGGUGGAGCAAAACUCAGAAACAACGUCCCAGUUCGGACUGCAGGCUGCAACUCGCCUGCACGAAGUCGGAAUUGCUAGUAAUCGUGGAUCA